UACGUAGGGCGCAAGCGUUGUCCGGAAUUAUUGGGCGUAAAGAGCUCGUAGGCGGCUUGUCACGUCGAUUGUGAAAGCCCGAGGCUUAACCUCGGGUCUGCAGUCGAUACGGGCUAGCUAGAGUGUGGUAGGGGAGAUCGGAAUUCCUGGUGUAGCGGUGAAAUGCGCAGAUAUCAGGAGGAACACCGGUGGCGAAGGCGGAUCUCUGGGCCGAUACUGACGCUGAGGGGCGAAAGCGUGGGGAGCGAACAGG
rnacentral:rRNA from 1 species